CAUCCUUACAGAGUAUUUGCUCAUUAGGAACAACAACAACCAGCUUCCAGAAGCUUUCCACGUCCCAAACUUUGAACAUCUCUUUUUGUGUAAACUUAACAAAGUAUCAGAUGGGGGAUCCGCUUGGAUUGCAGCCCAACAUAAAACCAAAAUAAAGGCUGAAUGGUGAUGCAGCAGGAGCCACGAAACCCGUAGCACGGAAUACUUUCGAGGCAAGUCAUGAGAAACUUAAAAUGAACCCAACAAUACUGUGCAUCUUUUUGUCAAAAUAAGAGAGAACAAUGGCUGUUCCAAUGGGCCACUUCCAGAAGAAAAGGCAAAGUCUUUUAAACCCAGCUGAUCUAUAGUACCCAGACGGAAUCCUGCCACGAUCACCACCACUGGUGCCAACUCCACUUUUGCCACGGGCAUUUGCAGAAGCGCCACAGUUGACAAGACCUUGAUUUUUCGUAUCCAAGAGAAAAGAAUUUGGGGAGGGGGGGGGGAAAUCCCUAUAUGGCACCAGAAAGAAUUUGAGGAAAGCGGAGAUUUGCACCAGAGUAUCAGCUCUGGAGCUGCUCCCAAGAGGCAGGGGUCAGACCACAAACUCUGGAACGUCUUCGUGGGCAAGAUCCAGAGAGAAAUAUUUGCUGGCUCUUUUGACGGGAAAAGCGUCUUGGAUGUUGAUGCACUGUUGAGCCAGACAGCCAUUACAGUACAGACCCUCCUCAGCCAGCCCAUGGCCACAGCCGAAGGUAUAGCUCUGGGCCGUCUCCUGGCACAGACUUGCCAGGCGCAAGAAGUCUUUUUGGUACAGGCGGAUGUCAUCCAGGCUCAAGCUGUGCCGGUCGGUGGAAGUCUUUGGCUUUCUGCAGACCGUCUGUGGAAAAUGAGAAAUCAGAUGCACUUAGGUCCACUUUGCUGUGUCAGUCAUAUGGCACAUGUGAUCAACGUCAACGUCAAUUGCGUUGACAGGUGCAUCAGUGGAACCAAGUCCAUACAAGACAACAGGGAGGUGAGAAUUCAUCCUGCCACCUCAACAGCAGCACCACUUUUGCUCUGGUCUCUGGGAUGAUCUACUGGACCUGCCGACUGCUGCAGAACAUACCCUCCCACAUACUGUAGCUACCCCUGAGGAUCACGUUGCCAAGUCGCUUUAGAUGCACACAACAACUCAACAAAAUGCACAAGGCACAACUCACAAACCUGUGGCAACGAAUCGGUGCUCUGGCCCCGAAGCUUGACAACGGUCUCGGAGGAGCUGGAGGUGGAGGAGCUUACUUCUUUGACGACUAAUCCUGAAAUCAGGCAACAAGCAACAAGAACCAAGAGGACAUGCAGUGGGCUUUAUCUCUGAUCCAGGUCAGCUUAUUUAUGGAAGCAUGCUCGACGGGUUCUUUGCUAUCAGCAUGCUAGUGAUUUUACAUCUUCACUUCUGUGCAGACGGUAUUGAGCAUUUCGCCAUUGAGGACGUCCACACCUUUUUUUGAGACCAUGUCUGACGCAGUGCUUUUGUCAUCUGCCACUUCCAUUUUGAUACUUGACUUUGCCUAUGUCAUCCUGCAGCCCAAUUUUUGCCUGGCUCAGUUACACCUCCUUCCUUAACUUUUGACUGUUAUUGUACAUGCCAUUAUCUAUGUAUUCUGCAUUGUGAGAAGGCAUUACUGUUAUUGCACAUGCCAUUAUCUAUGUAUUCUGCAUUGUGGUUGGUUUGAGUAUUACUGCAUACAUUAUUAUUAUUUUUCUUGUGGAAUUAUUUAGUUUAGAUUCAUGAUUUUUGUUUAUUAAUGUUAUGGAUUAUUUAUUAUUGGCUUAUUAUUUCUGAAUAUACAUUUUCAGUGUUUAUCUAUAUUUUCAGUGUUUGGUUAUCAUUAUCUGCAUUUUUUUGUUUUGUAGUCACGGUGGGAUUUCCCUUUCUCCUCUUUAUUGUUAGUUUCAGCCCCAGCCCCAGUUGACCACCUCAGAGAAUGAGGCCAGACGUACCCUCUCUUUUCUCUCUAACAAACUCAGAGUAGCUUUAAUAGGCUUAACAACCACUCUGUAUUAACGGACAAUGUGCAGGCUCAGCAAUCAUUUGUGCAGAGAUGCUCAGGGGCCAAUUUUCACCAUGUUUUUUGAUAUUAGACCCACUUCACUUUUUAAAAAAAGAAUGAAUUAAGUAUCUAUAACACCUGACUAAAUAAUUGAUAACUCAGAUGGUUUUGAUUCAGCAGAUUGUAAUGGAUGAAGAUAUUGUGCCACUGUUGCUUAUUUCCUUGAUUGUCUUUGGAAAUAUGAACUGGGCUGUUCAUCACUAUUUAGGGUAAGCGUUUGUGUGUGUCUGUGUGUGUAUGUGAGAGAGAAUGUGUGUGUGUGAUAUUAUUGUAACUACAUUCUGUAAAAUAGUGUUUUUUGUUAAAACUAUUUUUAAAUUUUUUGUGAUUUUAAAUUUUUUACUGAGUUUUAUUGUUUUGAGCUGUGUGCCCCACCUUGUGGCUUCAGCAUUAGGCGGUCUA